AUGAUCCUUUACCCCAGCUGGCCCACCUCUCUCUCUGGUAACACUCUCUGCCCCUUGACCUUAUGAUUCCUGAGACACACUGCUGCAGUUGCUGCCCGGCUUUUCUGGAUGCCAAGAAAGUGCUCAGGCCUUUGCUUGCUUUUCUGGAUUUCUCAAGCCAGAUUCAGACCCAAUGCCACAGACUGUCUAAUCCAAGAAACACAUUAUGUUUUCCCCCAGGCUUUAGACAAAACAUGAACAGAAUUCUCUUCCUGCUGUAUUUCAGUCAAGCGAACAACUUCGUCUCCUGCGUGAACCAAGUAAAUUUGCUGGAUGCCAUCCAUGAUGCUCUUCUCCCCUUUAUCCUUCAUCAUAUAUGCAUUACUUACUAGAUCACAAGCCACUUUGUGCGGAUGGGCCCAUUUUCUUACACCUGGAAUGAUCCCAAAAGCAUUAUCCAUGGUAAGACUUUAUUGUUUUAAUUGUGCACUUAUAUUAGGCUGUGUGGAAUCUGGGCAGCAAUGUUAAAUUACAUUUCUCGGCAGCUUCAAGGCUCUGUAUCUGUAAUUAGUGGCUUCUGUUCUUCAUUACACUGAUCAGAAAUGCAGCUCUAUUCAUCACCACAGUUCAGUUAAUUAUCCUUGCUAAUGAUUUUCAUGGUGUAAAGAAUCUACAGGACCCAUUUGUAAAGAUAUUUUACAUUGAGAUUAUUGGACAGUAUGACACCUAGUGAGCCGAUAAGCUGUUGGAAGAAUGUUGCCAUGGGGAAUAUUUAUAACUCUCUUUUCUAUUGUGUUUGUUUUGAUUGAGAAGAAGUUAGAGGAGGGAAUGUAAUGUAAUGUUGCGUUUACAAGAUUAUAAUACUCCAGGUGUGCAAGGAGGUGGGGAAGGAGUCACACAGAACACAAAAGAGAAAAUUAAACUUCCUCUGCAUGCCUG
rnacentral:lncRNA from 1 species